UCGAUCACUUCAGCUGCUGCUCUGCUGC
rnacentral:sRNA from 1 species